ACCAACUACACCUAAUACCUUCACCAUCAGCAUUCUGCACCAAAAUCUAAGGGGAAAAAAAUUGCCAUGGUUGAAAUGGAAAACUAACACAACACAUGAAACAUACGUAGUAUUUGAUGACAUAUUCACCUCCUCAACAUGUCAAAUGUCAUCUUCAUCAACAACAGUAGCAAAUAUAAAAGGUUAGUGUAAAGAUCGUCGAUGUCAGUGGAGGAAAAUUACAAAGAUGUUGAACGAGCUCGACGGGUGUGCGAGGCUUUGAUUUUAAAAGCCCCUUCAUUGAAUGGCUAAAGAUGGUGGCGGAGAAGAAACACCACCCUUGAGAUCCACUUGAGAUGGGGCUUCUGUCAACGAGAAUGAAAAAGUUAUGGACCAUUUGCAACGAAAAAAGCACAGGGGGCCAAACGCUAAUGUGACAAACCACAUGGACCAUUUGUGACAUUUUCUCUUCAAUUUAUUUUUACUUGUAUUCAUAAGCUUGUACUUUUUUAACACCUUGUUGUUUUGUAUUAAUGACCGAUAACCAUAAUACCUUUUUCAUCAAA